rnacentral:misc_RNA from 1 species
UCCGGUUUGUCACCGGCAGUCUCAUUAGAGUGCCCAACUAAAUGUAGCAACUAAUGACAAGGGUUGCGCUCGUUGCGGGACUUAACCCAACAUCUCACGACACGAGCUGACGACAACCAUGCACCACCUGUAUACCGACCUUGCGGGGCCACCAUCUCUGGCAGUUUCCGGUAUAUGUCAAGCCAAGGUAAGGUUCUUCGCGUUGCAUCGAAUUAAGCCACAUGCUCCGCCGCUUGUGCGGGUCCCCGUCAAUUCCUUUGAGUUUUAGCCUUGCGGCCGUACUCCCCAGGCGGAGUGCUUAAUGCGUUAGCUGCGGCACGGAGAGGGUUGAAGGCCUCCCCACACCUAGCACUCAACGUUUACGGCUGGGACUAC